AAGUAGUUAUCCUCAACCGAUUGAGCUGAAAUUUGGCAUAUCUGUCAAGUUCCGAUGACAAUGCAAUAUGAUGCCACCAUCAUAUUGCAUUGUCAUCGGAACUUGACAGGUAUGCCAAAUUU
rnacentral:snoRNA from 1 species